rnacentral:rRNA from 1 species
AUUGAACGCUGGCGGAAUGCUUUACACAUGAAAGUCGAGCGGCAGCGCGGUCUUCGGACUGGCGGCGAGCGGAGAACGGGUGAGUAAUACAUCGGAACAUGCCCAGUCAUGGGGGAUAACACUACGAAAGAAGUGCUAAUACCGCAUACGUCCUGAGGGAGAAAGCGGGGGAUCGCAAGACCUCGCGCGUCUGGAGGGCCCGAUGGCAGAUUAGCUAGUUGGUGGGGUAAAGGCCUACCAAGGCAACGAUCUGUAGCUGGUCUGAGAGGAUGAUCAGCCACACUGGGACUGAGACACGGCCCAGACUCCUACGGGUGGCAGCAGUGGGGAAUUUUGGACAAUGGGGGCAGCCCUGAUCCAGCCAUUCCGCGUGAGUGAAGAAGGCCUUCGGGUUGUAAAGCUCUUUCGGCAGGAACGAAACGGCGAGCUCUAACAUAGCUCGCUAAUGACGGUACCUGAAGAAGAAGCACCGGCUAACUAUGUGCCAGCAGCCGCGGUAAAAC